UUCAUCUUCCAACAACACAAAUUAAAAAUUAAGAAAUGGGUACUAAUAAAAAGUCUUAGGAGACACACAUCAUGAUAAUUUUUGUUUCUUUUUUUACUUUUCUUGCAAGAAUUAUCAAUAAAUAUGAACUACCCUUAUGUAUUGAUACAAUAAAGCCAACAGCAAGUUAAAAUUAAGAUUUAAGAGAGAGAGAGAAAGAGAAGUCUGAGUUUAUACUGUACAUGGCUCCAAUCACCACUCUCUUCCACUUUAUCAUGUCUUCAAUCCAUCUUUUGACAGCCCCUCCUCAGGUAUCAUCAGUCCAUAUCCAUGUUUCAAGUUAUCAAGAGCCACAUCCUUCAGGUUUUGGUUAUGCUAUCAUUCCUCUUAAUGUUCCUACCUUCCCUUGAUUUCUGUCUCUUUUUCUUUCUUUCUGCAAGUUCCCUGUAUAUAGACAGAUAGAAUAUAGAUAGCUGGUUUCUCUUCAUGUUUUUCCUUUUUCUUGCUGCCUUGACUCAGCAUGAGCUGAAGAAUAUGGAUGGCAAUGAAUUGGGUUUUCCCCAAUAGCAAGAAUGGCUACAUUUUAUAUGUAUAUGUAUAUAUAAUAUAUGCUUUUUGCUGUUACUUGAAUUAUGCCUUUCAUUUAUGUUUCUGCUGUUAAACUUGUAAAAUACAAAGGGUCUGCAAGUUUUUCUCUAGUCCAUUUGGGUUAUCUAGCUACAUAUUUACCUU
rnacentral:lncRNA from 1 species